UGGGGAAUUUUGGACAAUUGGGCGAAAGCCUGAUCCAGCAAUGCCGCGUGUGUGAAGAAGGCCUUCGGGUUGUAAAGCACUUUUGUCCGGAAAGAAAUCCUUGGCUCUAAUACAGUCGGGGGAUGACGGUACCGGAAGAAUAAGCACCGGCUAACUACGUGCCAGCAGCCGCGGUAAUACGUAGGGUGCAAGCGUUAAUCGGAAUUACUGGGCGUAAAGCGUGCGCAGGCGGUUUGCUAAGACCGAUGUGAAAUCCCCGGGCGUCAACCUGGGAACUGCAUUGGUGACUGGCAGGCUAGAGUAUGGCAGAGGGGGGUAGAAUUCCACGUGUAGCAGUGAAAUGCGUAGAGAUGUGGAGGAAUACCGAUGGCGAAGGCAGCCCCCUGGGCAAGUACUGACGCUCAUGCACGAAAAGCGUGGGGAGCAAACGGAUUAAUACCCUGGUAGUCCACGCCCCUAAAANGAUGUCAACUAGUUGUUGGGGGAUUCAUUUUCCUUAGUAACGUAGCUAACGCGUG
rnacentral:rRNA from 1 species